GCGGAGGGAUCAUUACUGAGUUUACGCUCUAUAACCCUUUGUGAACAUACCUAUAACUGUUGCUUCGGCGGGUAGGGUCUCCGUGACCCUCCCGGCCUCCCGCCCCCGGGCGGGUCGGCGCCCGCCGGAGGAUAACCAAACUCUGAUUUAACGACGUUUCUUCUGAGUGGUACAAGCAAAUAAUCAAAACUUUUAACAACGGAUCUCUUGGUUCUGGCAUCGAUGAAGAACGCAGCGAAAUGCGAUAAGUAAUGUGAAUUGCAGAAUUCAGUGAAUCAUCGAAUCUUUGAACGCACAUUGCGCCCGCCAGCAUUCUGGCGGGCAUGCCUGUUCGAGCGUCAUUUCAACCCUCAAGCUCUGCUUGGUGUUGGGGCCCUACAGCUGAUGUAGGCCCUCAAAGGUAGUGGCGGACCCUCCCGGAGCCUCCUUUGCGUAGUAACUUUACGUCUCGCACUGGGAUCCGGAGGGACUCUUGCCGUAAAACCCCCAAUUUUCCAAAGGUUGACCUCGGAUCAGGUAGGAAUACCCGCUGAACUUAAGCAUAUCA
rnacentral:rRNA from 1 species